rnacentral:rRNA from 1 species
CCUGGCUCAGAUUGAACGCUGGCGGCAGGCCUAACACAUGCAAGUCGAGCGGAUGAGUGGAGCUUGCUCCAUUGAUUCAGCGGCGGACGGGUGAGUAAUGCCUAGGAAUCUGCCUGGUAGUGGGGGACAACGUUUCGAAAGGAACGCUAAUACCGCAUACGUCCUACGGGAGAAAGCAGGGGACCUUCGGGCCUUGCGCUAUCAGAUGAGCCUAGGUCGGAUUAGCUAGUAGGUGAGGUAAUGGCUCACCUAGGCGACGAUCCGUAACUGGUCUGAGAGGAUGAUCAGUCACACUGGAACUGAGACACGGCCCAGACUCCUACGGGAGGCAGCAGUGGGGAAUCUUAGACAAUGGGCGCAAGCCUGAUCUAGCCAUGCCGCGUGAGCGAUGAAGGCCUUAGGGUUGUAAAGCUCUUUCAGAUGGGAAGAUAAUGACGGUACCAUCAGAAGAAGCCCCGGCUAACUACGUG